rnacentral:rRNA from 1 species
CCAAUAGCGUAUAUUAAAGUUGUUGCAGUUAAAAAGCUCGUAGUUGAAUUUCGAGAUCAAUUUUUUUGGUCAUACCUUUGUAUGUACUGGUCUUAUUGAUUUCUCCCUUCUGAUGAACCAUAAUGUCAUUAAUUUGGUGUUAUGGGGAAUCAGGACUAUUACUUUGAAAAAAUUAGAGUGUUUAAAGCAGGCUCAUGCUUGAAUACAUUAGCAUGGAAUAAUGAAAUAGGACGUUUGAUUCUAUUUUGUUGGUUUCUAGGAUUGACGUAAUGAUUAAUAGGGAUAGUUGGGGGCAUUAGUAUUCAAUUGUCAGAGGUGAAAUUCUUGGAUUUAUUGAAGACUAACUACUGCGAAAGCAUUUGCCAAAGAUGUUUUCAUUAAUCAAGAACGAAAGUUAGGGGAUCGAAGACGAUCAGAUACCAUCGUAGUCUUAACCAUAAACUAUGCCGACUAGGAAUCGGAUGAUGUUAACUUUUUAAUGACUCAUUCGGCGCCUUACG